rfam:Pristionchus pacificus strain PS312 contig5548, whole genome shotgun sequence.
AGCUUUGCGCAGAGGCGAUAACGUGACCAAUGAGGCUUAGCCGAGGUGCGUUUAUUGCUGGUUGAAAACUUUUCCCAAUUGCCCGCUACGGCCCCUGCAAUACGGGGUCGUAUGCAAUUUUUGAAAGCCCGAAGGGGC